GGUCAGCUGAUAUCCCAGGACUGUGCCCAGUUCUAAAAGUGAGCCAUUAGCAAGAAUGUGGACCCACAGAGAUGAUCUUUCCAAAGCAUCCCUCAGAGAUGAAAGCAGAUCACUGGUGUACUACACCUGCUAGACUCAUGUCAGAGGCUUAGCUCAGCUCUAACAAAACCAAGUCCAUCCAGUCCAUAGCAAAACUCUCAAGCCAUUCCGUCCUAGCAGUGUGAUUAAUAAACUGAGGUCUGGAGGGGAGAAACGGGAGGUGAUGAAGGAGAUAGAGGAGAAAAACAACUCCACAGACUCACCAUGAAUCAGAUACUGCCCUAGACAGUAUGAUGGAUCAUAUGGUGACAGCCAUGAAGGCUGGCAGUCACACUCAGUCUACAUCCAGGGAGCCAAAGGGCAUGAGCAUUGACCUUCAGCACGCCUUUUCCUUCAUAUUCAGUCUGGGCCCCCAGCCCAUGGGGUGGUAGUGUUCACAUUCAAGUGGGUCUUCCCUCCAUGGUUGAAUCUCUCUAGAAAUGCUGUCACAAACACGUACAGAUUUGCCUUUUAGAUGAUUCUAAAUCUCAUCGAGUUAACACGAACAUUAAUCGUCACAAGCAUCCAGUCCGUUUACAAUGAUUUCUUGAAUAGCUGUGAAAUUUUUACCAACGAUUAAUUGUUUUUUAAUUGAGCACUUUAGAAAUUGUGCUGAACAUGUUUUUAAAAAGAGUAAUUAAGAAAUCGAAGUCUGAUACCUAGGAAAUAAGUGAUUUCUACUUAGAGGUUGGGCACAGAACAAAGAUGGAGAAAUGUUAGAACAGAACAGCAUGGAAGUUAGGAAAGCAUAAAGUUUAUGGUUUCAUUCUUUCUGUUGUGUGCAUUUGGAAAUUCUUAGGCAAGAAACAGAACGGAAAUGGAGAGGAGAGCCCAGCAUGACUUGCGCCGUGCCAAAGGAAUACGUGUGAGUUGGCUUCGUGUCAUCGUAACAAAACCCUGAGGCAGAAACGUCUACUCUUGAGCCUUCCAGUGGCCACUGGUACCUUUGGACCUUGAGCUGGAGCUGCAGCCUAGAGUUAUUAUUUAGCUUUGCCCUUUGUCUUUGAGAAAUAUCUUGAAAGAGCCAGGUUGGUCCAGACCUGCUGGCAAGCCUGCAGCCCCAUCCACCGAUUACCUAAUACACUUGUGACAUCUGCUUUCCUUGUUGUGAGAAAACACAGGGAGGAAGUGUGUGCAGAAGGGGUGAUGCCUGACCUACACACCCGGCAAUACCAGAAGUUUCACUACCUUCCGUUGGUAAACGCUUCAGGGAAGGCUCUGCAACCCUGAACGUGUUUUAUUGUAGAACCUCACUAGGAAACUCAUCAGUAUUUAUUAAAGAUGAAUUAAAAGAAGGAGGAAAAGGAAAAACGGGAUAGUGAAGAGAAUAGAUGAAUGAAAAAGAAGCAAAGGGAAGAGAGGAGGAAGGGACAAAGAGGGCAAGAAAAGAGAA
rnacentral:lncRNA from 1 species